rnacentral:rRNA from 1 species
CAGUCGCCGCGGUAAAACGUAGGUGGCAAGCGUUGUCCGGAAUUAUUGGGCGUAAAGGGCUCGCAGGCGGUUUCUUAAGUCUGAUGUGAAAGCCCCCGGCUCAACCGGGGAGGGUCAUUGGAAACUGGGAAACUUGAGUGCAGAAGAGGAGAGUGGAAUUCCACGUGUAGCGGUGAAAUGCGUAGAGAUGUGGAGGAACACCAGUGGCGAAGGCGACUCUCUGGUCUGUAACUGACGCUGAGGAGCGAAAGCGUGGGGAGCGAACAGGAUUAGAUACCCCUGUAGUCCCUGUCUCUUAUAC